rnacentral:rRNA from 1 species
CCUACGGGCGGCAGCAGUGGGGAAUAUUGGACAAUGGGGGCAACCCUGAUCCAGCCAUGCCGCGUGUGUGAAGAAGGCCCUCGGGUUGUAAAGCACUUUCAGUGAGGAAGAACGCCUGGUGGUUAAUACCCAUCAGGAAAGACAUCACUCACAGAAGAAGCACCGGCUAACUCCGUGCCAGCAGCCGCGGUAAUACGGAGGGUGCGAGCGUUAAUCGGAAUUACUGGGCGUAAAGCGCGCGUAGGUGGCUUGAUAAGCCGGUUGUGAAAGCCCCGGGCUCAACCUGGGAACGGCAUCCGGAACUGUCAAGCUAGAGUGCAGGAGAGGAAGGUAGAAUUCCCGGUGUAGCGGUGAGAUGCGUAGAGAUCGGGAGGAAUACCAGUGGCGAAGGCGGCCUUCUGGACUGACACUGACACUGAGGUGCGAAAGCGUGGGUAGCAAACAGGAUUAGAUACCCGAGUAGUC